UACGGAGGGUGCAAGCGUUGUUCGGAAUUACUGGGCGUAAAGCGUGCGCAGGCGGUUCGUUAAGUCAGAUGUGAAAGCCCCGGGCUCAACCUGGGAACUGCAUUUGAAACUGGCGGGCUUGAGUAUGGCAGAGGGGGGUGGAAUUCCGCGUGUAGCAGUGAAAUGCGUAGAGAUGCGGAGGAACACCGGUGGCGAAGGCGGCAUCCUGGACCAAUACUGACGCUGAGGAGCGAAAGCCAGGGGAGCAAACGGG
rnacentral:rRNA from 1 species